rnacentral:rRNA from 1 species
UGGGGAAUAUUGGACAAUGGGCGAAAGCCUGAUCCAGCCAUGCCGCGUGUGUGAAGAAGGUCUUCGGAUUGUAAAGCACUUUAAGUUGGGAGGAAGGGCAUUAACCUAAUACGUUAGUGUUUUGACGUUACCGACAGAAUAAGCACCGGCUAACUCUGUGCCAGCAGCCGCGGUAAUACAGAGGGUGCAAGCGUUAAUCGGAAUUACUGGGCGUAAAGCGCGCGUAGGUGGUUUGUUAAGUUGGAUGUGAAAUCCCCGGGCUCAACCUGGGAACUGCAUUCAAAACUGACUGACUAGAGUAUGGUAGAGGGUGGUGGAAUUUCCUGUGUAGCGGUGAAAUGCGUAGAUAUAGGAAGGUACACCAGUGGCGAAGGCGACCACCUGGACUAAUACUGACACUGAGGUGCGAAAGCGUGGGGAGCAAACA